UACGGAAGGGGCUAGCGUUGUUCGGAAUUACUGGGCGUAAAGCGCGUGUAGGCGGCUAGGCAAGUCGGAUGUGAAAGCCCACGGCUCAACCGUGGAAGUGCACCCGAAACUGCCUCGCUAGAGUCUCGGAGAGGAAGGUGGAAUGCUUGGUGUAGAGGUGAAAUUCGUAGAUAUCAAGCGGAACACCGGUGGCGAAGGCGGCGACCUGGACAGGUACUGACACUCAACUACGAAAGCGUGGGGAGCAAACAGG
rnacentral:rRNA from 1 species